rnacentral:rRNA from 1 species
UACGAAGGGGGCUAGCGUUGCUCGGAAUCACUGGGCGUAAAGCGCACGUAGGCGGAUUGCUAAGUCAGGGGUGAAAUCCUGGAGCUCAACUCCAGAACUGCCCUUGAUACUGGCGGUCUCGAGUCCGGGAGAGGUGAGUGGAACUGCGAGUGUAGAGGUGAAAUUCGUAGAUAUUCGGAAGAACACCAGUGGCGAAGGCGACUUACUGGUCCAUUACUGACGCUGAGGCUCGAAAGCGUGGGGAGCAAACAGG